rnacentral:rRNA from 1 species
AAUGAACGUUGGCGGCGUGGAUUAGGCAUGCAAGUCGAGCGAGAACCCCGCAAGGGGGGACAGCGGCGAAAGGGACAGUAAUGUGUAGAUUAUCUGCCCUCAGGUCCGGGAUAGCUGCGGGAAACUGCAGGUAAUACCGGAUAACAUCUCCGGAUCAAAGGUGUGAUUCCGCCUGAGGAUGAGUCUGCAUCCUAUUAGCUAGUUGGUGGGGUAAUGGCCUACCAAGGCAUUGAUGGGUAGCAGGUGUGAGAGCACGACCUGCGUCAUUGGGACUGAGACACUGCCCAGACACCUACGGGUGGCUGCAGUCGAGAAUCUUCGGCAAUGGGCGCAAGCCUGACCGAGCGACGCCGCGGGUGGGAUGAAGGCCUUCGGGUUGUAAACCACUGUCAGAGGGGAUGAAAUGCAGGUGGGUUCUCCCAUCUGUUUGACAUAGCCUCAGAGGAAGGACGGGCUAAGUUCGUG